rfam:Camelus ferus unplaced genomic scaffold scaffold531, whole genome shotgun sequence.
GAGGGUAUAGCUCGGUAGAGCGUGUGCUUAGCAUGCACGAGGUCUUGGGUUCAAGCCCCAGUACUGCCA